rnacentral:rRNA from 1 species
UACGAGGGGGGCGAGCGUUGUUCGGAAUUCUUGGGCGUAAAGGGUGCGUAGGCGGUUCCGCAAGUCCUGUGUGAAAUCUUCGGGCUCAACUCGAAGUCUGCACGGGAAACUGCGGGGCUUGAGUGUGGGAGAGGUGAGUGGAAUUCCCGGUGUAGCUGUGAAAUGCGUAGAUAUCGGGAGGAACACCUGUGGCGAAAGCGGCUCACUGGACCAUAACUGACGCUGAUGCACGAAAGCUGGGGGAGCAAACAGG